rnacentral:rRNA from 1 species
AUUGAACGCUAGCGGCAUGCUUUACACAUGCAAGUCGAACGGCAGCGCGGGCUUCGGCCUGGCGGCGAGUGGCGAACGGGUGAGUAAUGCAUCGGAACGUGCCCAGUAGUGGGGGAUAGCCCGGCGAAAGCCGGAUUAAUACCGCAUACGACCUGAGGGUGAAAGCGUGGGACCGAAAGACCUCGCGCUAUUGGAGCGUCCGAUGUCGGAUUAGCUAGUUGGUGGGGUAAAGGCUUACCAAGGCGACGAUCCGUAGCUGGUCUGAGAGGACGACCAGCCACACUGGGACUGAGACACGGCCCAGACUCCUACGGGAGGCAGCAGUGGGGAAUUUUGGACAAUGGGGGCAACCCUGAUCCAGCCAUGCCGCGUGCGGGAAGAAGGCCUUCGGGUUGUAAACCGCUUUUGUUCGGGAAGAAAUCCUCUGGGCUAAUACCCCGGGGGGAUGACGGUACCGGAAGAAUAAGCACCGGCUAACUACGUG